AANUCCUACGGGAGGCAGCAGUGGGGAAUNUUGGACAAUGGGGGCAACCCUGAUCCAGCCAUGCCGCGUGUGUGAAGAAGGCCCUCGGGUUGUAAAGCACUUUCAGCGAGGAAGAACGCCUAGUGGUUUAAUACCCAUUAGGAAAGACAUCACUCGCAGAAGAAGCACCGGCUAACUCCGUGCCAGCAGCCGCGGUAAUACGGAGGGUGCAAGCGUUAAUCGGAAUUACUGGGCGUAAAGCGCGCGUAGGUGGCUUGAUAAGCCGGUUGUGAAAGCCCCGGGCUCAACCUGGGAACGGCAUCCGGAACUGUCAGGCUAGAGUGCAGGAGAGGAAGGUAGAAUUCCCGGUGUAGCGGUGAAAUGCGUAGAGAUCGGGAGGAAUACCAGUGGCGAAGGCGGCCUUCUGGACUGACACUGACACUGAGGUGCGAAAGCGUGGGUAGCAAACAGGAUUAGAUACCCUGGUAGUCCACGCCGUAAACGAUGUCGACCAGCCGUUGGGUGCCUAGCGCACUUUGUGGCGAAGUUAACGCGAUAAGUCGACCGCCUGGGGAGUACGGCCGCAAGGUUAAAACUCAAAUGAAUUGACGGGGGCCCGCACAAGCGGUGGAGCAUGUGGUUUAAUUCGAUGCAACGCGAAGAACCUUACCUACCCUUGACAUCGACAGAAGCCGAGAGAGAUCUUGGUGUGCCUUCGGGAACUGUCAGACAGGUGCUGCAUGGCUGUCGUCAGCUCGUGUUGUGAAAUGUUGGGUUAAGUCCCGUAACGAGCGCAACCCUUGUCCUUAUUUGCCAGCACGUAAUGGUGGGAACUCUAAGGAGACUGCCGGUGACAAACCGGAGGAAGGUGGGGACGACGUCAAGUCAUCAUGGCCCUUACGGGUAGGGCUACACACGUGCUACAAUGGCCGGUACAAAGGGCAGCGAGCUCGCGAGAGUCAGCGAAUCCCUUAAAGCCGGUCUCAGUCCGGAUCGGAGUCUGCAACUCGACUCCGUGAAGUCGGAAUCGCUAGUAAUCGGAAUCAGA
rnacentral:rRNA from 1 species